AAAGUGUGUUCUAUGAGCACAAUGUGUUUAACACAAUUACACAUUUGAAAAAUCAAUAGAAAUGCAUACCUGACAGCAGAUCUCCAGAGACUCACAC